GUCCUAAUAGUAUAACCUAUUACCCUGGUCUUGUAAACCAGAAAUGAAGAAAUAGUCUUCUUAGGACA
rnacentral:tRNA from 1 species